rnacentral:rRNA from 1 species
GAUGAACGCUAGCGGCAGGCUUAAUACAUGCAAGUCGAGGGGCAGCAUGAUUGUAGCAAUACAAUUGAUGGCGACCGGCAAACGGGUGCGGAACACGUACACAACCUCCCAAUAAGUGGGGACUAGCCCAGAGAAAUUUGGAUUAAUACCCCGUAACAUAACGAUGUGGCAUCACAUUGUUAUCAUAGACUUUUCGCUUAUUGAUGGGUGUUCGGCUGAUUAGAAAGUUGGCGGGGUAACGGCCCAACAAGUCUACGAUCAGUAGCUGAUGUGAGAGCAUGAUCAGCCACACGGGCACUGAGACACGGGCCCGACUCCUACGGGAGGCAGCAGUAAGGAAUAUUGGACAAUGACGCAAGUCUUAUCCAGCCAUGCCGCGUGAAGGAUUAAGGUCCUCUGGAUUGUAAACUUCUUUUAUAAGGGACGAAAAAAGGUCUUUCUAGAUCGUCUGACGGUACCUUAUGAAUAAGCACCGGCUAACUCCGCGCCAGCAGCCGCCGUAAAAC